GCGGGCGUAAUUCAGCGGUAGAAUGUCAGCUUCCCAAGCUGGACGUCGCCGGUUCGAAUCCGGUCGCCCGCU
rnacentral:tRNA from 1 species